AAAUAACAAUACAGGGCUACUGUCUUGUAAUUGGAAUGAUGGCGACCCAAACCCUCGCCAGAGUACCAAUUGGAGGGCAAGUCUGGUGCCAGCAGCCGCGGUAAUUCCAGCUCCAAUAGCGUAUAUUAAACUUGUUGCAGUUAAAAAGCUCGUAGUUGAACUUCGGCCUUGCGCGUCCUGCGGGUCUGCGCGCGGCCUUUGCGUUACUUUGAGAAAAUUAGAGUGUUUCAAGCAGGCUUUCGCCGUGAAUACUUGAGCAUGGAAUAACUGGGCAGGACCUUGGUUCUUCUUUGUUGGUUUUGUACCUGGGUAAUGGUUAAUAGGAACGGUUGGGGGCAUUCGUAUUUA
rnacentral:rRNA from 1 species